rnacentral:rRNA from 1 species
GAUGAACGCUGGCGGCGUGCCUAAUACAUGCAAGUCGAGCGAACGGACGAGAAGCUUGCUUCUCUGAUGUUAGCGGCGGACGGGUGAGUAACACGUGGAUAACCUACCUAUAAGACUGGGGUAACUUCGGGAAACCGGAGCUAAUACCGGAUAAUAUUUUGAACCGCAUGGUUCAAAAGUGAAAGACGGUCUUGCUGUCACUUAUAGAUGGAUCCGCGCUGCAUUAGCUAGUUGGUAAGGUAACGGCUUACCAAGGCAACGAUGCAUAGCCGACCUGAGAGGGUGAUCGGCCACACUGGAACCGAGACACGGUCCAGACUCCUACGGGAGGCAGCAGUAGGGAAUCUUCCGCAAUGGGCGAAAGCCUGACGGAGCAACGCCGCGUGAGUGAUGAAGGUCUUCGGAUCGUAAAACUCUGUUAUUAGGGAAGAACAUAUGUGUAAGUAACUGUGCACAUCCUGACGGUACCUAAUCAGGAAGCCACGGCUAACUACGUG